GACGAACGCUGGCGGCGUGCUUAACACAUGCAAGUCGAACGGAAAGGCCCUGCUUUUGUGGGGUGCUCGAGUGGCGAACGGGUGAGUAACACGUGAGUAACCUGCCCUUGUCUUUGGGAUAACUUCAGGAAACUGGGGCUAAUACCGGAUAGGAGCUCCUGCUGCAUGGUGGGGGUUGGAAAGUUUCGGCGGUUGGGGAUGGACUCGCGGGUUAUCAGCUUGUUGGGGGGGUAGUUGCUUACCAAGGCUUUGACGGGUAGCCGGCCUGAGAGGGUGACCGGCCACAUGGCGACUGCGGUACGGCCCAGACUCCUACGGGCGGCAGCAGUGGGGAAUAUUGCACAAUGGGCGGAAGCCUGAUGCAGCAACGCCGCGUGCGGGAUGACGGCCUUCGGGUUGUAAACCGCUUUCGCCUGUGACGAAGCGUGAGUGACGGUAAUGGGUAAAGAAGCACCGGCUAACUACGUG
rnacentral:rRNA from 1 species